rnacentral:rRNA from 1 species
UACGGAGGGUGCAAGCGUUGUUCGGAAUUAUUGGGCGUAAAGAGCGUGUAGGCGGUUAGGAAAGUCAGAUGUGAAAGCCCUGGGCUCAACCCAGGAAGUGCAUCCGAAACUACCUAACUUGAGUACGGGAGAGGAGGGGGGAAUUCCCGGUGUAGAGGUGAAAUUCGUAGAUAUCGGGAGGAAUACCGGUGGCGAGGGCGCCCCUCUGGACCGAUACUGACGCUGAGACGCGAAAGCGUGGGGAGCAAACAGGAUUAGAUACCCUGGUAGUCCACGCCGUAAACGAUGAGCACUAGGUGUAGCGGGUAUUGACCCCUGCUGUGCCGUAGCUAACGCAUUAAGUGCUCCGCCUGGGGAUUACGGUCGCAAGACUAAA